rnacentral:rRNA from 1 species
GACGAACGCUGGCGGCGUGCCUAAUACAUGCAAGUAGAACGCUGAAGGAGGAGCUUGCUUCUCUGGAUGAGUUGCGAACGGGUGAGUAACGCGUAGGUAACCUGCCUGGUAGCGGGGGAUAACUAUUGGAAACGAUAGCUAAUACCGCAUAAUAGUAGAUGUUGCAUGACAUUUGCUUAAAAGGUGCAAUUGCAUCACUACCAGAUGGACCUGCGUUGUAUUAGCUAGUUGGUGGGGUAACGGCUCACCAAGGCGACGAUACAUAGCCGACCUGAGAGGGUGAUCCGCCACACUGGGACUGAGACACGGCCCAGACUCCUACGGGAGGCAGCAGUAGGGAAUCUUCGGCAAUGGACGGAAGUCUGACCGAGCAACGCCGCGUGAGUGAAGAAGGGUUUCGGAUCGUAAAGCUCUGUUGUAAGAGAAGAACGAGUGUGAGAGUGGAAAGUUCACACUGUGACGGUAUCUUACCAGAAAGGGACGGCUAACUACGUG